rnacentral:rRNA from 1 species
AUACGUAGGGGGCGAGCGUUGUCCGGAUUUAUUGGGCGUAAAGGGUGCGUAGGCGGCCUUGUGAGUCAGAUGUGAAAGAUCAUGGCUUAACUGUGGUAAGCAUUUGAAACUGCAGGGCUUGAGUACAGGAGAGGAGAGUGGAAUUCCUAGUGUAGCGGUGAAAUGCGUAGAUAUUAGGAGGAAUACCAGUGGCGAAGGCGACUCUCUGGACUGAUACUGACGCUGAGGCACGAAAGCGUGGGGAGCAAACAGGAUUAGAUACCCUGGUAGUCCACGCUAUAAACGAUGAGUGCUAGGUGUCGGGGGUCAAACCUCGGUGCCGCAGUUAACACAUUAAGCACUCCGCCUGGGGAGUACGGCCGCAAGGCUGAAACUCAAAGGAAUUGACGGGG